AUAUAAAUAAUAUUAGUAAGUGGCGGAAGAUUUGGAGGGCGAACGAAUCAAAGAAGCAUGAGUUUCGUCAAAAGUCGGCAAGUUGGGAAUAUGAUAACUUGUACUUUUGGAUGAGAUUAGGAGCUCUUCACAUGCUAAGAAAAUAAUAAUAUGAAGUAUUUGAAUUGUAUAAUGGUCUCUUGUUAAGUUUGGAAGUCAAACGAGUUCUAAUACGAAAGUCGACAAAGGGCGUCGCAAGUUAAGUUUGUAAAUUUCACUGAAAUUUGGGUCAGAUGUCUCGGAGCUUUUCUCUCAAUAUACUUGGAGUUACGGGGUGAUCCACCUACCAAAUCGAAUUUCUACGAGUCUAGUUUCCAGCGCAUUUUACCGUUCAUCAAUACAACAUCGGAGUAGAGAGAUAUUCGCGUUUUCGUCCAAGGACGCAAACUGCUGCGUGAACAGUGAACAUAGUCGGUGCCUUUAUCUUGCCCCCAUAUAUAUAUACAUACCUUGGACGAAAUUUCCUUCAUUUUCUUCACCAUAAACAGAAAACCCUAAGCAAUAUUCUCAAACCUUCUCCCAUCAAUCACAAACACUCCUAAAAGCAAAUCAAACAACUUCAACAUGGAGAAAACCAUGGCAAUUACGGAAUUGUGAUUUCUUCGCUAAUUUGCUUCUGGAUAAGAACUUCACCUUGAAGUAACUUGGAGUUUGGAGUGAUUUUGAUCAUCUAAGGAAAUCGUUCAUAAGGUGCUCGAGGACUCGGGAAACAUAUAUAACUCCAUCGACGAGGUACGGUUGACGGAUUGUUGUACAUUUCUCAAUAGGAUACCAAAGUUCAGCAGGGAUGUUCGCACUCCAUUCUCCGGAGUUGUUGGUCAGAGUCAUUAAAUAGAAAGUAUAUAUAUAGAAAGUAUGGCUAUGGGUAUAUCGGGGCCACUGUCCCGACCAGUUGAUGCAUAUUAGUGCUCGUAGAGGCUUACAGACUAUCAGUCAGUGUACAAGUAUUGUGUUUGGCCUUUCCGGCCUUCUGACUAGUUGUCUUUCUUGGUUAUGGUCUUGUCGGCCCUAGUU